UACGGAGGGUGCAAGCGUUAUCCGGAUUCACUGGGUUUAAAGGGUGCGUAGGUGGGCUGGUAAGUCAGUGGUGAAAUCUCCAGGCUUAACUUGGAAACUGCCAUUGAUACUAUCAGUCUUGAAUACCGUGGAGGUCAGCGGAAUAUGUCAUGUAGCGGUGAAAUGCUUAGAUAUGACAUAGAACACCAAUUGCGAAGGCAGCUGGCUACACGAAUAUUGACACUGAUGCACGAAAGCGUGGGGAUCAAACAGG
rnacentral:rRNA from 1 species